GCAAUCUACAGGGGCAGAGAGCCAUGAGCUGUUGACCGGGGCUCCCGACAAAACCCAGUAUUAACCAAUGCCACGAAUCCAGCUAAAUCCAUCCUCCUAGGACAAGUGCCCUGAUGGCAACUGCGACACCAAAGAGAGAGGAUGCUACAGCCUUCCCUGAUAAAGUUUCCCACUGAGAAGCCUCCUAAAAUCCAGUUCUGUGGGGGAGCAGGGGAGGCCGUGACCAGCUGUCACUUCAGCAGCGGAUUCACAGAGAGACCUUGUCUUGGGACCGGACUGCUGAGGGAGCCCUGCCGGCCUCGCUGGGGCGGGGUCCCCGCAGGGCUGGAAGCCUGGAAUCCAGAAACUACCUCCAGCUGCUCCUCUGUGUUCUUCCUCAAGGCCUCUUCGAAGCGGCGGGCUCUGUCCCGCAGAGACUGGCUCUGGAAGGUCAGCGUGUCCACCUGGUCCUGCAAGUAAUGAUACAAGGAGUCCAGCUGGGGCCACUACAGACAGCAGCCACCACAGCCUGGGCAACUGUGAUCAGUGGGCCACCACUGUGCCCUGAGCACCCUCAGAGUGUUUCCCUGGGGGCUGGAGAAAGAGGUGCCAAAGGGGAACCCCCACAGCCACACGAUGGAGGAGGGUGUCCCCCCGCGUCUGCCCUCGGCUCACUCCUCCUUGGUGCUUUGUCAGGAAGAGACCACAAAAGCACCGUGAGCCAGGGGGCAUUUCACAACCUCUGAUCUCACAGAGGCAGACAAUCCUCAGAGAGAAUCCUCAGAGGUGCCUCUUGUCCAGGAGGCACCCAGCCCCUGGCUUUGGGAAGGACCACGAUGAACCUAUUUCAAAGACGUAUUCUCAUUUAGGAAGCUCAAUCCAGAACCCUUCAAACCCUCCUUAACUUCCUUCUCUCCCUCGGGACCCCUCCCACAUCACCAAACCUUCUCAUCACCAAGUCCAUAAUCAAGUCCUGCCAUCCUGCCUCCUGAAUGUCCCUAGAACCCACAGACUGCCCUGAGCUCCGGCCCCUCUGCUGGCUACUUUCUGGGACGAUUCCUGUUUUUUUCUGAAGGAUCACUCCUUUGCCCUCACACUGUAGUGAGGCACUCUUUCUAACGUGCAAACCGGAACCUGUCCGUCCCCUAUCUCCUACCCCACUGCCCUCAAGCUGCAGUGCACACUCCCUAACACAGCGUCCUCCCAGCCUCGCUGCCUCCCUUUCCUCUCGUGCCAGCUCUCCUGCUGGCAGUGCCUUCCUCCAGCCAGCUCCCUCUCACUCCCGCUUCACUCUGGCUCCCACACAGCCUUCCUGGCCUCAGGACUGGGUGGCAUGUCCUUGAUAGGAGCUGCCACGUAAGCCAAGUCCACACAGUCUCCUCCUCCCUGCUCAGACCUGCCCCGUGGCCAGACUGGCACUCCCAGCCCUCAGCCUUCCCAUGCCUGCCAGCUAGGCAGGCCGCUGGCCACUCUCCACCUGCAGGUUGAAGGAAUACAAGCGUGUCUAUGGAGACACUGCACCCCUUCCCCAGCUCCCAGCGCAGAUGCACCUGCACUGACCCUGCCCCACUUGGCUCCGGCCAUGACUCUCAGGACCACAGGCUGGCAAAGGACCGCUGAUGCCCAAGGAGAGCUUCACCCUUCAUGUCUCACUCGUGCAGACCAGUCCAAAGCUCUUUGCCCAGCACCAUUUCUAUAAUAUCAAAACAUUCAAAACACAGAAACUAGGGUCUCCCAUUAACUCUUCUAAAAAAGUAUAUAGAUAUACAGAUACACACACACACAAAAAAAAAAAAAAAAAAAAAAAA